GUCCGGCUGUAGCUGUGUGAUGGAACAGACGUGUUCUCUGAUGCGAUGAUCUAAUAGUCUUGAAAAGAGGACCAUUCCCGUGGCUUCUGAGGAAACCUUCCCCAGUAAACCUUCGGAAUUCCACCGACAGAAUCAGUCGGGGCGAGCGGGGACCAGAUCGGACAGGAAUGGCCGGGCGAGCAGAGAGCAGGCGGACGGCCGGGCGGGCCAGCGGGGAGCGGGCAGCCGGGCGGGCGGACAGUACCCCCAGCCGUAGAGGUACAGAUGAACCUACGAAGGACAGGUUGAAGCUAUUGAAAAGUAAACCUCAGACAUGCAGAGAGGGACACCUACUGUUCUACACUGAACACCAGUGCCGGCAUAUAAGGUUAUGCCCUGUCCGUGCUAAACUGACCGCACCUGCCAACGACGCAGGGUUCCGAACAGCGGAGACCAUCUCAGUGCACAGAGGCGGUUUCACUCUACAUGACGACAAACACAGCAGUUACUCAAGAAUACAAUCGA